rnacentral:rRNA from 1 species
CGUAGGGUGCGAGCGUUAAUCGGAAUUACUGGGCGUAAAGCGUGCGCAGGCGGUUUGUUAAGAUAGGCGUGAAAUCCCCGGGCUCAACCUGGGAACUGCGCUUAUGACUGGCAAGCUAGAGUACGGCAGAGGGGGUGGAAUUCCACGUGUAGCAGUGAAAUGCGUAGAGAUGUGGAGGAACACCAAUGGCGAAGGCAGCCCCCUGGGUCGAUACUGGCGCUCAUGCACGAAAGCGUGGGUAGCAAACAGGAUUAGAUACCCUGGUAGUCCACGCCCUAAACGAUGUCAACUAGGUGUUGGGAGGGUAAAACCUUUUAGUACCGGAGCUAACGCGUGAAGUUGACCGCCUGGGGAGUACGGCCGCAAGGUUA